UACGAAGGUGGCAAGCGUUGUUCGGAUUUACUGGGCGUAAAGGGCGCGUAGGCGGCCACCGCAAGUCGACUGUGAAAUCUCCGGGCUUAACCCGGAAAGGUCAGCCGAUACUGCGGGGCUAGAGUGCAGAAGGGGCAACUGGAAUUCUCGGUGUAGCGGUGAAAUGCGUAGAUAUCGAGAGGAACACCUGCGGCGAAGGCGGGUUGCUGGGCUGACACUGACGCUGAUGUGCGAAAGCUAGGGGAGCGAACGGG
rnacentral:rRNA from 1 species